GACGAACGCUGGCGGCGUGCUUAACACAUGCAAGUCGAACGGAAAGGCCCCUUUGGGGGUACUCGAGUGGCGAACGGGUGAGUAACACGUGAGUAACCUGCCCUUGACUUCGGGAUAACUUCAGGAAACUGGGGCUAAUACCGGAUAGGAAUCAUUGCUGCAUGGUGGGGGUUGGAAAGCUUCGGCGGUUUUGGAUGGACUCGCGGCUUAUCAGCUUGUUGGUGGGGUAGUGGCUUACCAAGGCUUUGACGGGUAGCCGGCCUGAGGGGGCGACCGGCCACAUUGGGACUGAGAUACGGCCCAGACGCCUACGGGAGGCAGCAGUGGGGAAUAUUGCACAAUGGGCGGAAGCCUGAUGCAGCAACGCCGCGUGCGGGAUGACGGCCUUCGGGUUGUAAACCGCUUUCAGCAGGGGCGAAGCUUGUGGUGACGGUACCUGCAGAAGAAGCACCGGCUAACUACGUG
rnacentral:rRNA from 1 species